GAUGAACGCUAGCUACAGGCUUAACACAUGCAAGUCGAGGGGAAACGGCAUUAAGUGCUUGCACUUUUUGGACGUCGACCGGCGCACGGGUGAGUAACGCGUAUCCAACCUUCCCAUGACUAAGGGAUAACCUGCCGAAAGGCAGGCUAAUACCUUAUGGUCUUCACUGACGGCAUCAGAUGUGAAGUAAAGAUUUAUCGGUUAUGGAUGGGGAUGCGUCUGAUUAGUUAGUUGGCGGGGUAACGGCCCACCAAGGCAACGAUCAGUAGGGGUUCUGAGAGGAAGGUCCCCCACAUUGGAACUGAGACACGGUCCAAACUCCUACGGGAGGCAGCAGUGAGGAAUAUUGGUCAAUGGGCGAGAGCCUGAACCAGCCAAGUAGCGUGCAGGACGACGGCCCUAUGGGUUGUAAACUGCUUUUGUAUGGGGAUAAAGUCAAUCACGUGUGAUUGUUUGCAGGUACCAUACGAAUAAGGACCGGCUAAUUCCGUGCCAGCAGCCGCGGUAAUACGGAAGGUCCGGGCGUUAUCCGGAUUUAUUGGGUUUAAAGGGAGCGUAGGCUGGAGAUUAAGUGUGUUGUGAAAUGUAGACGCUCAACGUCUGACUUGCAGCGCAUACUGGUUUCCUUGAGUACGCACAACGUUGGCGGAAUUCGUCGUGUAGCGGUGAAAUGCUUAGAUAUGACGAAGAACUCCGAUUGCGAAGGCAGCUGACGGGAGCGCAUCUGACUCUGAAGCUCGAGGUGCGGGUAUCGAACAGG
rnacentral:rRNA from 1 species